UUCAGCCCCCUUCAUUUUUGCAGCUCUGGUCCCCCCCAAGAAGAUUAUAGGGAAAGAAGGGACCAAACUUCAUGUGACCGAUGUUCCAUAAAAGCGAACAAGAAUGAGUCUUUCCAAGUCAUGAAAAAAUAACAGGUGCCACAUCUCACACCCCUAGUAUUAAAAGUUUUAAAUGCAGGCAAUGCAAUAUUUAUCACCUGAGAUAAUAAAAAGGCAAGUCGGUAUUUUCCCUUCACAAAUUCAAAGGGCUUGAGCAAAUGCAAGGGUGGAGUUGAAGUCUUAUGAAGAGUAUUUUACGCUGCUUCUAUUUUGCCCCCCUUAAUAUCAAUAAGAACAUAUUUGUUGGACGAAUCCAGGGUUCCUCAAGAUGUAAUUCUCUAAUUGCUUAGCUUUUAAUUCAUGUGAAAGUGAUAUAAUUCAUUGAAGCUUGUCGGCCUGCAUCGCUCCCAGUAUGAAGAACCAAUUACAGAAAGAUCCCAAGCAUUCUGGAUAACAGGUCCCAUACCUGUAACAAAAAACCCAUGAAGCAGAAGAAAUUGAGUAUGGAAACUGAGAUAUGGUGAGAAACAUAUUUUACUACCAUCCUAUGAAUAAUGGAUUUAAGGAUGAUUAAAAAUGUGGAACAUAUAUAGCACCUCAUAGGUUCUGUCUAAUUCAUACGAACCCACUGACGAAAUAAAAAUUGUUCAAUGGACAUGUAAAAAAUAAGUUACUGAUAGUCUUGAAAGAAAUACAAUUUUUAUGGCCAGGAUAAUUGUGCAAAUGCCAGUAAAAACCUAGGAUUCCAUAGAAAUUACCUUUUUAUAUAGAUUAAGUAAGAACUGACUCUUUUAACAUAAUGAUCUGUACACAUUUUAAUGAGCAAACCCACAAUAUUUUGGAUCAUGUCAACAAUAAGGAUCUUGUUAAUUAGCUGGGAAUUACAAAAGAGGGGUUUGUGUUUCUUCAUGAUUAUAAUGAAAAGCCUGGAAGAGUUAUAACACACAGUUGUUAUAUCUGUCAUAUAUUUUCUACCAUUCAUUAAAAGAAAUAACCUGACUAAAUGGGUAUUUUUCAUGUUUAUGAUAAAUCUAAAAUAUCAAAGAGGGUCUGUGGGGAGUAGAGAUGGAAAUCAGGCUCAAUGCAAUAACACUGAGGACCUCGGCUUGAAAGAAAACCCUGCACAGGCAACAAAUAAAUGUUAUGUCAAUAGAAAUUAAUGCUUUUUAAGUUUUUUUGUUGUGGUAUUCCUACUUUCUUGUCUCCUUGUUUACUUUUUUUUUUUUGCUGUCUAGAAGUGAUCUGGAUAAUGAAUCAUACAUGAUAGAUAAGUGAACCAAUAUCCUUUCUAUUUUUGUUCAUUUGUUAUUCAUGCUGUUUUGGGUUAUCUUUAUUCAUUCAUAUUUUUUAACCUGAGUCGUAACUUAUAAAUAAUAAGACAGACCUACCAGCAGUGUUGUCAGACAGCUAGGAUAGAGGCUAGGUAGCUCGGCAAGCUAAUACCCCUUUUAAGUUUAAAAAAAAAGUUUUGGACAUGUUGAUUGAAAUCUAAAACUUACAGCAUUUAAUAACAAGUGAUUGUAUUGCUUUUACUAUAUUAACUAUAUUUUAGUAUAUUUUAUUUGGACGAAUGUCACAAUAAAACGUUGCUGUUUUGUUUAUUGAAUUUAUUUCCAUCUUCAUUAAAAUUGUUUCAUUAAACUUUCCAGGAAAUCAGCUCUUCCAUAAACUGUACAUACUGAACGGUGGUCUGAUCAUGUUUGAACUUUUCACUAUUCGAUAACCACAAAUUUGGCAUCAAUUAAAAUUUUCGUUUACUUCA